GGGAGGAUAUAGGGAAGUUUUGGGAUAGCAUUUGAAAUGUAAAUAAAGAAAAUAUCUAAUUAAAAAAACAGACAAUGAUUUAUGAAAUGUAAUAUUAUAUUUUCAUUCUCCAAUUCCACAACUUAGAAGCCCACCCUUUACUUCAUAGGAAAGUUCAUGCAUCUUUGAGAAUCCAUCAAAUCUUCCUCAUAAUGCCAGAAUCUACCUCCUUUGCGCAUCCCUGAGUUGUCUUCAUCUAAGCCCUUGGAUUACGUAGCAUAAUCUACUUCCUUUCCACAUAAAGCCUGCACAUGAGCAAAGCCAAGCCUCAUCUGCCUCAUACUCUAUUUCCCCCGUUAUCAACCAUUCCUAGAAAGAUGCAAAGCUGGAUUUCAUGCUUCUUGCCUUUCCUACAACAGUGCCCGGAAUUCUUGAUGUUCAAUACAGAAAGAGCUGCCUAUGCAAAGAAAGUCCUGAAUGGCCAUCACUCGCUGCUGUUCAUAAGCCAAACAAGGAUCUUUCUGUUUGUCUUCACAUUUCACUGAUGUUUGUAAGUAAUGCACUCAGCCCCAAAUCCCUACACCUUACACAGCCUGGCAGCAAGUUUCAUCCUUACCCUUGAAACAACCUCCUUGACUAUCACAGUCUGCAAAUAGAAUUUUCGCAGCGCCAUUGUGAAAUUGUAUACAGAUCUAGAUCAUCAAGGCAGUGUGUAGAGGCUUUAGGCCACGUGAUAACUGCUUUAUAAAUAUUUUUAAUAACUGCAUGCACAGCCUGGAAAACACAGCAAGAAAACCUGUUAUUGUUUGAUAUUGAUCCACUAAUAUUUCCUCUUCAAGCACAGUAGCUUACCCCUAUUAAAAUACCGUGUAGUCUGUCUCUGUUUGCAAACACUGAAAACCUACAGCAGAUUACCUAAUAUAAAACCUAAUGGUAACUAACUAAAGUUGUAUGACCUCUCAGACUCUAUUUGUGAUAAAAGUUAGACUUCUUCUUUUUUUUAACUUUUUAUUGAUUCUUCAUGAAUUUCACACCAUGCAUCCCAAUCCCACUCAUCUACCCGGCCCGCCAUAUCUGCCCUCCGCCCUUGCAAUUUUUCCCC
rnacentral:lncRNA from 1 species